CUGACGAUAACUGCGACUACUCAAAAAUUCUGAUUAUUUUGUACAGUUCAUUUACAAAUUCAGCUGCAUAAAUGUUAAACACAUGCUCGACAUCAACACCAACUGUAUAUGCCCUUAGCCACAGAUCUUUCAUUUUUAGCUUCACCUCCGUUAAUAUCCUCUCAACGAGAGACACGUACUUGAAUCCACUAGGCACGAAAAGUUCAAAUGUUCUCGGUUACAAAUACGUUCACUGAGUCCCUAUCUGUAUCCAAACAACAAUAUAGUAUACAACGUAAGUUGCUAUGAUCGGAGAAGCCAUUUCUACAUAUUGAUCAAAGUUGUCAACAACAAAUCAGUUCUAUAUAUAUAUAUAUAUAUAUAUAUAUAUAUAUAUAUAUAUAUAUAUAUAUAUAUAUAUAUAUAUAUAUAUAUAUAUAUACACACAAACACACACACACAACCUUAAUACCGGUACAUAACAUCAUGUGCUGUCAAUUAGAAUAUAUAUCGAUAUUAUAGCAUUUACCAGAGUUUUUAACACAACCACAAAUUUUUGACCUAACCAAUAUGUUAAUGUAUAUAUAACAGUAAAAAAAAAAAAAAGGAAUUUGUUGUUUCUUUAUAGGCAUAUAUGAAUUUUCCCUUUUUCAAAUUAGGUACAUUAUCCACCGCUGCUUUGUAUUGUAUCCAGCGUCCCAGCCCCCACUGAUAUGACAUAUUGAACUUUGCAAAAACAUACAAAGGCGCAAACCAGACCCUAUAUCUCUCACUCGGGCGGCUCCGCCACUGAAGUGUCCGUGACCUACUGCCGCCAAGUGGCCGAGCUUCCGUCGUCCGCCACUUCUAGCCUGCCAGUCCCGCCACUGUGUGAGUGAGCCUCUUUUCUUCUUUCUUUAUUUCUUUUUUUCUUUUUUUUUUUAAGUUCAUUUUUUAUGCAAUUGGAGAAUGAUUUGUGACCUUCUAUAGGUUUGAUUUACUUUGGGUAUGCUUCAUUUUCUAGUCUUCUUGUUUUGGGUUUUUAUCUAAUUGACUUUUUUAAUUAUUAAUUUCUUGAUUGAUAGAUAGUAUUUUUAUUAAUUUUUUACGUUACUCACCUCUUUCUGUUGACUUGUUCAUUUCUUUUUUCAAGAUUUAAUCCUUUAUGUUACUUAUAUAGUUAGGAUUUGAAUACUGGAAAAAUCAAGAAAUUAGACAUUUUAAGAAUGUUUCAAUUUUCUUGUGUUGCCUUCUAUUAAUAUAAUAAUGUUUUAGCUUAUUUUGGGACAACAAAAAAAAAAGGGAGAAGUAAAGCUAAAUUUGCUACGUGUAACGAGUAGUUCACAAAUUAUUAGCCACUUCAAUCAACAAAACCAGGAUUAAUAAUGAACAAAAAUAAACUGAAAGUAAUGUAAAGAACACGAUAUUUUUCGCCCUAAGGCAAUAGGUUCAUAACUGGAAUUGCUAAUCCCCUUUUGUGCUUCCACCACCGGAAGAAUUCAUUGAAUUAACUAGAAUUAUGAACUGUCCAACACUUACAGAUCUAAGUCCCAAGCCAAGAAUCACUCAAGAUUACCGAUAACCCUCACAAUAUUGCCUCAACAGUUCACUCAAGAACAGUAGUGUGAAAUCGGUCCGUAUACAAAUCACCCAAGACAAGUAUUACAAGAUUUCACAAAAUGGAAUCGAUAACUAAAUGAUUUCUACACAGAUUUGUGAAGGAAAAAUAUGGCACUUAGAAAAUAUGAAGAUUAUUCUUCAGCCGCUUUGAGAGAGAGAGAGACAGAGACCAAGAGAUGAAGAGAAAAAGAAAAAUCUGCUAACCCUAGAUUCAAGAGACCCGUAUAUAGGAAGUCUCCAGAAUGUCUCUAUCCAAUGGCCAUGAAGGUGACACUUGUCAUCAUCAAAUUUGUCUAACCCAUUAGUAAAAACGUAUUGCUAGAAAAACACAUUUUUAAUUCAAAACCAUCAAUUUCUAUUUCAGCCUGCACAGUUCACUUUCAUUUAGUAGAGAAGCCAGUCAAAGUCCAUAAGCAGCUGGUCCAGUUAGCAGGUCAAGAUAGCCACAUCAUUGUGCCACAUUUCCUUACAAUCUCCACCUUGGUACAAUGAUUCCAGUUUUAUGCAAUAAGUUCUCCAGACAUGGUAUCAUUUGCACUUAUUCCUGAUACACAAAUCAGCAAACGUUAAUAUUUAACUGUUUUAAACAGUCCAGAAAAUUGUUUAAAGGCAACACUUUAGUUCAAAUUGUGUAGAAAUCUUAGUUUAACAAUGUAGAAAUCUUUUCAAGUUUAACAACACCUUGAGAAAUUACAUCUCUAAUAAAAUAAAAUUUCACAUCAACAUGUUUUGAUCGAUUAUGUAGCACGGGAUUUCUACUCAAAUAUUUAGCAGACUGACUAUUAGAAUGUAAAACAUCAUUUAUGAAACCAAAUUUAUUUAAAAGUCCUUUUAGCCAAAUUCCUUCUUUAAUAGCAUCAGUUACAACUAUAUAUUCAGCUUCAGUUGAAGAUAAAGCAACAAUCUUUUGUAAUUGUGGUUUUCAGCUUAUACAGGAAUUACAUAAAGUGUACACAUAGGUAGAAGUUGAUUUUCUAUGGUCCUUAUCGCCUGUAUAAUCAGAAUCUGUGUGACCCCUCAAGAUAACACCUUCAUAUUACUUUUUAUACUCAAUUCCUAGGUCACAAGUUCCUUUUAUAUAUCUUAGAAGGCACUUCAUAGCUUUCCAAUGAACCUCACCAAGAUUGGACAUGUAUCUACUCAAUACACGUAUUGCAAAUGCUAAAUCAUGCCUAGAACAGAUCAUUAGAUACAUAACUGACCCCACAGCAUUAGAAUAUGGUACUCUAGCCAUUCUGUUAAACUCUUCUUCAGUUUUGGGAGAUUGGUCAUUAGAUAAUUUGAAGUGAUUUGCUAAAGGUAAACUCACACUUUUAGCAUUAGACAUUGCAAAUCUUUCAAGUGUUUUCAAAGCAUAAGAUUUUUUAUUUAGACUUAUUAUGCCCUUUCUUCUAUUUCUUUUAAUUUUGAUACCCAAAAUUUUUCUAACAAGACCUAAGUCCUUCAUUUCAAAUUCAGAUUUUAGUUUAUCUUUAAUUAACUUUAUUUCCUUUAUGUCAUGACUAGCUAAAAUCAUGUCAUCCACAUAAAGUAGAAGAUAAAGUGAAUUCUCACCUCCGUUUCCUUUACAAUAAAGACAAGCAUCGAAAUUACUUCUUUUAAAACCAAGUCCAAGUACAAAAGUGUCAAAUCUCUUGUACCAUUGUCUUGGAGCUUGUUUUAAAUCAUAAAGUGACUUUUUAAGAAGACAUACUAAGUCAGAAUUUUUAUUCACUUCAAAGCCUUUAGGUUGUUCCAUAAAAAUGGUUUCUUCAGGAUCUCCAUUUAAAAACGCAGUUAUGCCAUCUAAUUGAUCCAAUUCCCAAUUAAAUUGAGCUGUACGGGCAAGUAUGACUCUAACAGUUGCAAAUUUUACAACGGGGGAAAAUAUUUCCUUGAAGUCUAUCCCUUCCUUUUGAGCAAAACCCUUAGCCACAAGUCUUACCUUAUAUCUAAUGUCGUUCUCACAUUUUUCACCUCUUUUGAUCUUAUAGAUCCACUUGCAAUCUAUAACUCUCUUUCCCUUAGGUCUCUCGACUAAGGUCCAAGUUUUAUUCUUUCUCAAAGAUUCCAUCUCAUCAUGCAUUGCAGCAAGCCAAUGCUUAGAGUCCCUGCUACUCAUAGCAUAUUUUAUAGGACUCGGGUUCAUUCUCAAUGAACCCCUUAAUAGUAAGAAAGGACAUUUCAUCAUCAAACCUCACAGGUGGUCUUAUUUGUCUCCUUUCUCUAUCUCUAGCAAGUUGAUAAUCAUUUAAAGAUUGAUUUGCUUCAAAAUCAGAUUUAUUCAGAUCAGUUUCAUUAGUAUUUUGAACCACAAUUUCACUAAUUUCAAACUAAUCAAGUUGUAGAUUAUCAUUAUUAACUUACUCCACUCAAUUUCAAUUUCUCUCCCUUCAUUUUCAAUCUGACCAGAAUUAGUUAUGUUAUUUUCAGAUUUCAAACAGGGCAUAUCACAUUCAUUAAACACCACAUUUCUACUCAAAAUGAUCUUAUAACCUUUGGUCUCUUUUACCCAAAGUCUAUACCCUUCACCCAUUCAUCAUAGCCCAAGAAAACACACUUUAGAGCUUUAUGUUCAAGUUUUCCUUCAGAUUGGUGUGCAAAUGCUGCACAACCAAAUAUUUUUAGAUUUCUCAAAUCCACAGGUUUUCCUGUCCAUACUUCUUCAGGUGAUUUGAAUUGUAUAGCACUAGCAAGGCUUCUAUUUAUGAGAUAACUAGCAGUUUUUGCAGCUUCUCCCCAAAAUAACUUGGGAAGACCAGAAUCUAGUAACAUACAUCUAACUCUUUCAAGAAUAGUUCGGUUCAUUCUUUCAGCCAAGCCAUUUUGUUGUGGGGUGUGUGUCACUGUUCUAUGACUUAGAAUACCAUGCCCUUUGCACAAUUCAUCAAAUUCAUAAUUGCAAAAUUCCAGCCCGUUAUCAGUCCUCAACACUUUAAUCUUUUUAUUUAUUUGAAUUUCAAUCAAGAUUUUCCAUUCUUUAAAAGCAUUAAAAGUGUCAGACUUAUGUUUAAGUAGAAAGAGCCAGUUUUUCCUAGAAAAAUCAUCUAUGAUUAAAAGGAAAAAUCUAAAACCAGUAUGUGUGGGCAUAGAAGCUGGUCCCCAAAGAUUAGCAUGCAAAUACUCAAGAAUAGACACAUAUUUAUGCAUCCCAGGCAGAAAUGGUAGUCUAUUUUGUUUUCCUAGUAUGCAAUGAUAGCAAAAACUAAGUUUCUCAAUUAUAUCUUUACCAAAGGCACCUUGUUUUUUCAAAAUCUGCAAGCCUUUGUCACUAAUAUGGCCUAAUCUUUUAUGCCAUAGUUAUAACUUGUCAUUGGGGGUAGAAAUUGCUACUAAUGUGGAGUCAAAAAAGUUUUGAGUACAUAAAAUGUAAAGCCCAUGUCUCUUGGGGGCUUCGACAACAAGUUAAGAGCCCCUCAAGAUUUUAUUGUAUUCCUUGUUAAUCACAAUAUUAUAGUUCAGGUUAUCUAAGACACCUAAGGAUAUGAGAUUUCUUUGUAGGUCAGGAACAUACCUGGUUUUUUCUAAAGUCAAUUCAUUAUUAUCACCAAACCUUAAGGUGAUUGUUCCUAUUCCUUUUACCUGACAAGACAUGUGAUUAUCCAUUAACACUUGGCCUCCAUUUACAUUUUCAAACUCGAUAAACCACUCUCUUUUAGGACACAUAUGAAAGGUGUAACCUGAGUCCAGGAUCCACUCCUGACUAGGUGAACUGUGUAUAGCAACAUAAACCUCGUCUACAUUGUACUCAUUUUUAUAAGCCAAGGCACCACCACCAUCAUUAUUAGACUUAUUUUUCAAGUCAUUAAGUCUCUUAUGGCAAUCUUUGAUUAAAUGACCUUCACCUAGACAGUAAAAAUAUUUUUUAAUUUUAGUCUUUUUUUAUUUUAUCUUUAAAGUUCACCUUCUUCUUAUGUCCAGGUUUCUUAUUAAAAUUAGCCAUCUUUGGAUUUGGAUUAAGUUUGGACUUGACCACCAAAUUUUCACCACUAACAAAUUCUCUCUUUUCAGAUUUUAACUCUAACUCUUUAUUUCUCAAUGCAUUUAUUAUCACGUCAUUAGUUAGAGUCUCCCUUCUAUAUUCAAUAGCAUUUUUAACAUCUCUAUAUUUAUCACUUAUUAAAUUUAACAAAAUCAUAGCCAACUGAUCUUUUGAGAGUUUCUCAUCACAGUCGGCUAGGUCACGAGAUAAUCUAUUGAAUCUAUCAAUGAUUGCCUCAAGAUCAAGAGAUAGGUCCAAUUUGAAACCAAAAAAAUAUUUUAGAAGAUACACUUUAUUAGGCAAGGUUUUAUUCAAAUAAGUAUCUUGCAAUUUUUUCCACAACUCAGCAGCAGUUUUUGUCUCAUCAAUCUCUCUUAACACAUUAUCAGAUAAAUGCAAGAAUAUAGAACUCCAUGCAAUUUCAUCAAGUUCAAUUAUCUCAGUUUCUUCCAUAUCAUUAGGCCAUGACUCAUCAAUGGCUUUUGCAAAUUUUUGUUGAAGUAAAAGGGCUCGCAUUUUCUGGCUCCAGAGACUAAAAUCUCUUUUACCAUUAAAGAUUUCCAGUUCAACUUUAGUUGACAUAAUAAAAACACAAUUUGAUUUUUAAUAGUACAGGCAGAUCACAUAAGUUUUGAACAGUAUCUACAACAUACAAAAUCUCAGAUGUCAUACACAGUAGUCAAUGUAAAGUAUACAACCAGCAAGUUGUAUAUUACAAAUUAUUUAGCAGAAACACUCAGCAGUUCAUUCAAUUACAAAAUAAGCAGUUUACUCGAAAAAUGGCAACACAUCAAGUCACAGCAACAUAAUCACAGCAUGCUUUAUACAUUCUAUAUAGGAUACUUGCAAGAAUUAUAAAAUGAAUGUUAAACUGUCGACUUUUAUUCAAGAUAGCCCUCAGAUUCCAGAUAAGUCAUGGUUUCUGGACAAAGGAACUAUCAAGAAGUCUUUGAUUUAUAAAUUUUACCACAGUUGCAAGGGUCACAUGAUAUAGACAAGUAAUGUAUAAUGUAACACGAAAUAAAUGGAACAAACUCACCAAAAAUCCCUUAUUGGGGUUUCAAGAAACAAGCUAAAUCUACUAAACGAGUCCAAGAUUUUUUCAGAUCUACCAUCACCGACACCAAGAACCACCGUAUACAAGCUCUGAUACCACUGUAACAAGUAGUUCACAAAUUAUUAGCCACUUCAAUCAAUAAAACCAGAAUUAAUAAUGCACAAAAAUAAACUGAAAGUAAUGUAAAGAACACAAUAUUUUUCUCCCUAAGGCAAGAGGUUCAUAACCGGAGUUCUUAAUUCCCUUUUGUGCUUCCACCACCAGAAGAAUUCAUUGCAUUAACUAGAAUCAUGAACCGUCCAAUAGUUAUAGAUCUGAGUCCCAGGCCAAGAAUCACUCAAGAUUACCGAUAACCCUCUCAAUAAUUCCUCAAUAGUUCACUCCAGAAUAGUAGUGUGAAAUCGGUUCGUAUACAAAUCACCCAAGACAAGUAUUACACGAUUUCACAAAAUAGAAUCAACAGCUAAAUGAUUCUACAAAGAUUUGUGAAGGAAAAAUAUGGCACUCAGAAAAUAUGAAGAUUAUUCUUCAGCUGCUUUGAGAGAGAGAAACCAAGAGAUGAAGAGAAAAUGAAAAAUCUACGAACCCUAGACUCAAGAGACCCGUAUAUAGGAAGUCUCUAGAAUGUCUCUAUCCAAUGGCCAUGAAGGUGACACUUGUCAUCAUCAAAUUUGUCUAGCCCAUUAGUAAACACAUAUUGCUGGAAAAGCACAUUUUCAAUUCAAAACCAUCAGUUUCUGCUUCAGCCUGCACGGUUCACUUUCAUUUAGUAAAGAAGCCAUUCAAAGUCCAUGAGUAGUUGGUGCCAAGACAGCCACAUCAUUGUGCCACAUUUCCUUACACUACGAAUUUGGGAUUUUUAUAAUUCUCACUCCAUUAACUGCUGAAUUUGUUUAGUAUACCUUUUUUAUCUCGAAUAUCAAUUAACUUUGUUUGAUUUGAGGGUUGCAUUGUUAAUAAUCACUCUCUUUCUAAUUGGUGAUGUUGGAUGGAGGAAUAGCUUUGCAAAGAGGGAGCAUGCACAAUCAAGAAAAGAAAUGGUUUUUUGGAUUAUACUUUUACUUUUUAGCUCUUACAACCAAAACUUUUAAAAUUCACAAUAUACGUUGAAAUUGCCAAUAAAUUUACUUAUAUUACUGAUAUAUGUGUAAUAUAUAUUUAUAUAUAAUUAAACUUUGUAUAUUUUAUAUUUGUUUGAUGGAACCUGGCCUACUCUAUUUGAGUCUUAAUCUUAGGGCCCAUUUGGCCCCAUUAUUCCACAUUAUAAUGAGAAGAAUAAUAAUUUUUUGAAGAAUGUAUGAUUAAAAUAAGAUGAAAAUUUUUUGAGCUUACGUGUAAUAUUAUUUUAUUAAAGAUUGUGUUAUUGAUAAGAAAAGAGAAAAAAUGAAUAAUAAUUUAAUGGAGGAAUAAUGAGGGCAAAACAGCCCAUUUUAAUUUAAUUAAAUAUUAAUAAAUAAUCUCCCUAUUGCGAUCAUUACAAUCAACGGUCAACGACAACCAUUACUUAUCAACAUUCCUGAAUUAGCCAUUGUAUAUAAUACAAUCAAUUAAAUAAAAUUUGACAUGAUAAGUGUCAAAUAUUGUUUAUUUUUCUUUUCUUCAGUCUUGCUUAAUAUUGUUACAUGUUGGUUCAACGGUUAUAUAGAACUAUCACAAGACAAGGCAACUUACAUAUUUUGUUUGUCAUUCUCUUUAAUUAUGUAUAAUUUAUUCACUCAAUAUAUCAAAGUUUACACUUUAUUUUUCUAGUAAUGAUAUUUAGAAUCAACGACUGCAAUGGUCACGUGUAAGGCAUCUUGUCACUUAAUAGUUUAUUGUAAUUGUGUUGUCACAAACAACAAAUUAAUGUGUCAAAUAACAUGUUGUCAUAUAAGAUGACUACUACUAUAAACAAGGGUGGAUCUAGGCUCGGGCUGGACGAGUUGCGACUACAGCCCCCAGCCCGACUUCGCCCAAGCCUAGAUCCGUUAGUCCACCAUUACCUUUUUUUUUUCUUUUUUAGUUGAGCCUAUUUAAAACUAAUUGAGCAGCUCGUGUCAAACCAAAAAAGGAAAAUUAAAUAAGCCUAAUUCCAACAAAAUGUGUUCGUAAAUGGACCAACUCUAAUUUUUUGGCCCAAUUUAUUACCCAUUUAAACUCAAACCCAAACCUAAUUUUAAUCCAAUUUUCUUCUUUUGACAUACCUGAGACCAUAGUAAAUAGAUGACGGCGAUUCCUCUCCAUUCUCCAACCCAUUACUCAGCAACCAAAGUCUUCAAACUUCCAAAUUUUCAAUCCUCUCAUAAAAUUUCUACAAAAUUAAGGAACCCUUUUCCAAAAUCAAAUAGUUCAUCUCUUAAAAGUUCUUUUACUCCAAAGUGGCUUUUGAACUGGACAAUGAAAGCCCAAGAAUGACUAAUCAAGAGGAGGGUGAAUUGGUUAUUUAAAACUUUUUCAAUAAUAAGUCCUAAUAAAAACAAUUUGCAAAUAUAAUAAAGAGCAAGCAAGAUAACUUGGAAAAAUAACAAGAGAAAGGGAUAGAGAAUGUAAAAGAUGUGUUAUGGAGGUUCGAUCCAAUCACAAUCUACGUCCCCCGUUACCAAGCUCUCCGUCAUGAGCAAGGCCUUUUUCACUAAACGUGAUUGACUUAUGGUGCAAUCCAACCUUCUACAAAGCUUUCGGUGACUUACAAACAAGGAGCACCAAUCAUUUUACAACAUUGAGCUUUUUGGGACCUCAACACGACCCACAAUUCAAUCAAGAAUAAACUUUACAAGAAAGGAAUCUUCUUCCACAAUAAAGAUAUAUUCAAAGUUGAGUACAAUGGAAAGAAGUAGGGUAACACUUUAAUGAAUGGCAAUAAGUGAAGCUCAAGUGUUAGGUUUGAAGAAAACUUUGAUAAAAGAAAUGAUUUUCAAAAGUAAACUCAAUCAAAAGUUUUCCAAAAGUGAAUGAAUUGAUAGAGGUAAAUAAAGAGUAGAGAGUUAAAGCUUGAAUGUAUCUCAAUUUAAUGCUCUUGGAAGUGAUGAUAAUGGAUGCAAAAUGUUGGGGUAUUUAUAGAGUCCAAAACGUUAAAAAAUCUGAAUUUGCGGAUGACUCGUCCGGUCGACUGCCUCUUGUCUGGAAGACCAAUAUAGCCGUUUGUAUAGUAAAAAUCAUAAGUCAGAACGGUCAAAUUCUGGACCGUUGGAGGAGUUCGGUCGACCGCCUCUCAUGGCCGGUCGACCGGUCCGAUUGACGGCCUCUCUGGGCGGUUGACCACCCCGGCAGUGCGGUCUUUUCACGUUUUGGCCUCGUUUGUUCCGAUUUGAAAGUUUUGAAGUGUAUGGACUUUUGGAAAAUAUUUUUAACUAAAUUUUCAUAAUAAGAAUGUCUUUAAAAUUCAUAUAUCAUUUUUAAAAGUCAUGUUCAUGUUUGAUCAAAAAGGUUGUAUUCGAAUUAUCUUAGUGCACAAAAAUUGUUUUUAAUGCAUAGCAAGAUUUAGAGCUUAACUAUUCUUUGCCAAAUAUCAAAGCAUUAGUAACUUUACAUUUUGCCCAAGAAAUCAAGUCUUUGCUCUGUACUAUGCCUCGUCUUAAUCUUUCAUUGAUGUCAUCUCUCACACUCUUGAUCUUGAUCUUUUUUUUUUUUUUUUAUCUCUUAACCUUUUUGUCUCGAAUAAUUUGACUUUAAUACAUGGCUUUCACUUUGAUCUUCAUUUGAAGUCCGAUAAUGCAUUAUUGAUUUGAACAUUGAACCAUCAUCACUAAAAAGAAUAUGUUAGAAAUAAAAAUAAUCUUGUUUGUUAUGAUCAAAACAUUUAGGAUUAAGCCGACCAUAUGCCAACAAUUUUCUCCUUUUUGAUUAUGACAAACAAGAUGAUUUGCAAGAUAAAUUUAACAAUUUAUAUCAAAAGAAUAUACAUUAGAAGAUUUAUCAUGUGAUCUAUUCCCCCUAUCCUUUACAAAUCAUGACCAUAUAUUCAAGGCAUGUAUUUUAUGUUCAAUUUAAAUCAUGCAUAAUCAUCUCACCAUAUUUCCCCCUUUUGGCAUAAGCAAAAAGAUAUAGUAUUUAAGAGCAAUAUAAAAUCAUACAACAUUCUCCCUUAAUUUAACACAGAAAGCAUAAAAAUAGUUUAGACGCCAUAUAUAAGCAAAUUUAAAGACAAUAGUAGUUAAUAGUUUAGACUCACAUAAAGAGUACAAUACAAAUGCAUAAAAUUAUAUUUAAGACUCCGGAGGAGGAGGAGGCGGGAAAAGUGCAUCAAACCAAGCAUAAAAUGCAUUUUACUGAGCUUGCAUGGCUUCCUACUGAGCAGUGUAAUAAGUAUAGAAAGCAUCUUGCUGAACUUGCAAUUGGUGAAGCAUUCCGCCAAUCCUGUGGAUAGAUGAGGUAAGAGAGUCAAGCCGGCCAUGUAGAAGAUUGUAGUGAUCCUUGGUAAAAGUAAAACGGCUCAAAGAUGGAGGAGCACUUUAUCCCGGAAUGUUAUGUGGAGGACUGGGAACGAUUGGUGUCUCGUUGGCCUGAUCAUCUUCCUCUUCAUCAUCUCCUUCGAAGGGUAGGUUGAAGGGCCCGAAUCCUGAUACGGGCCACCCAUUGCCCAUGCUCCUUGACAAUUUUCAUUCAUUUAAGAGUAUAAAUGUUGAUAAUUUCAGUAGGACGAAGAGAAACGGAGACUUCGCCAUUUAGAGGAAUUUCAAAAUGUUUAAAGAUCUUAGUAAGUAGCAUGCCAAAUGGUAUGGCCUUUAUCGAGUGGUGGAAUGGACUAUUUUCGUGUGACCAAUAACAAGAGUUGGAAAGUCUAUUUUUUGUCCGACUAAGAAUGAGUAAAUCGAAAUGAGUUACUUCAUCGAGAUGACCUUUCCUAGGUAGAAUAAUAUGGGCGAUGAUGUUGUGUAAAACCUUACAAGGUAAAGUUAAUUGAUUUGAACUAAGUUUUAUCAGGUGUUCAAAAUUAUUUUCGAUCACUCUACGGCAUGCAACAAUAGGAUUAUAACCUUCAAAUGUCGGAUGAGCCAUAUGACAAAACAUUUGAUUUGAACGAUCUUCUAACUCAAGAAGAGAAUGUAGAAGGGCAUGGGUAAUUGUAAUUCUUUUACCUUUGAGAAAACAAGAAAUACUACUCGGACGAGGAAUAUAAGCCAUGUUUUAGUAAAAUUCUUGCAUAAGCUUAGGAUAAGCAUUUUCUUCCAUUGAUGCAAUGGAAAUCCAACCCAUGCUUUCAAAGAACUCUGUUAUAUGGAAUGCAGGUGCUUGAAGUGUAAAAUCGCCAAAAUCUACAGUCUUACAUAUAAGAAUGGGAGAUUUAUCAAAGUGAUUUUCUGGCACUUCAGGUUCAUCCUCUGAUGAAGGAGUUGGUAGCCUCUCCCUCCUUGGCUUCUUUCCCGGCAUUUUUACUCUAGGCAUGAUGAUUUAAAUGUGGAAAAAUUUUAAAACCCGGUCGAUCAUUGAAAAGAGAGAAGAAAGAGUUGGAGUUGGAAAGAAAUGGGAAUUUUAAGAGAAAAAGUGAUGGGUUUUUCAAAUCUUGUGGAAAUUUCAAGAAAAAGUUGUAGAUCUAGGUGAAUUUGAUGUAGAUCUAAGAGGAAGAAGAGGAGAAGUGAGAAAAAAUUGAGGAGAAAUGAAGAUGAAAGGGUUUUAAAACCCGAAAAUCACAUCGUUCCGGUCGACCGGACGUCAAAUUUUUAUAUAUUUUUUUUUUGUUCCAAAACUCUGAUUUUUCGGUAGACCUUUUUUGAUCGACCGGAAGCCAUCUGGCAAAUUUUUUUUUUUUUGUUCCAAAACUCUGGUUUUCUGAUAAACCUUUUCCAGUCGAUCGGAAGUCAUUUUUUUUUUUUUGUUCCAAAACUCUGGUUUUCCGAUAAACCUUUUCCAGUCGAUCGGAAGUCAUUCGGCAAAUUUUUUUUUAUUUUUUUUACCAUGGAGUUAAAAAUCAUGUAAAAACACGAGUGAUAAAAAGUUUAAAGUUAUAUCACUUCACUUUCGUUAAUAAUUCCUAAACCUCUUCUAAUAUGAGAGAAUCGAUCAUGUGCUAGAGGCUUGGUAAAAAUAUCGGCUAAUUUGGUCCUCGGUUUUGAUAAAUUCUAAUUCAAUAUCUCCCUUUUAUACAUGAUCACGAAGAAAGUGGUGACGAGUUUCAAUAUGUUUAGUUCGUGAUUGCAAGACGGGAUUUUUAGAUAAAUUAAUAGCACUAGUGUUGUCACAUAAGAUAGGCGCAUAAUCAUAAGAUAGGUGUAGUCACAAAGGGUUUGUUUCAUCCAAAGUGUUUGUGCACAACAACUUGUGGCCGAGAUGUAUUCCGCCUUGGCAGUGGAUAAUUCAACGGAAUUUUGUUUCUUGCUUGACCAAGACACAAGUGCAAAGCCUAGAAAGUGGCAAUUUCUGCUAGUGCUUUUGCGACAACUAAUUAGAUCAAUGUGAGUACCCUUUGGAUACCAAAGUCCUAAGGUUUUAGUUCCACUAAGAUAUCGAAAAAUUCUUUUUACGGCACGUAGAUGUGAUUCCUUAGGAUUAGAUUGAAAUCUAGCACAUACGCAUACACUAAACAUAAUAUCGGGUCUACUAGCAAUUAAAUAAAGAAAGGAUCCUAUCAUACCUCGAUAUUUUGUGAUAUCAAUCGGAGUGCCAUGCUCGUCUUUGUCAAGCUUUAAAGUCGUGCUCAUCGAUGUGUUCAUGGGCUUAAUGUCAUGCAUAUCAAAUUUUUUGAGCAUUUCAAAGAUGUACUUAUUUUGGUUUAUGAAAAUUCCGUCUUUUGUUUGUUUAAUUUGAAGGCCAAGGAAAAAUUUUAGUUCUCCCAUCAUACUCAUUUCAAAUUCUUUAUUCAUACAAUUUGAAAAUUCUUCACAAAGACUAAUAUUUGUAGCGUCAAAAAUGAUGUCAUCAACAUAAAUUUGAAUGAUAAGCAUAUCCUCCUUAUGAGUUUUUAUGAAAAGUGUAGUAUCCGCUUUUCCAAUAGAAAAAUCAUUUCAAAGUAGAAAUUUGCUUAAACGUUCAUACCAAGCUCUUGGAGCUUGUUUCAAGCCGUAGAGGGCUUUUCUAAGUUUAAAAAAUGAUCCGGAUAAUUAUGAUUUUUAAAACCGGGAGGUUGCUUAACAAAAACUUCUUUUUGAAUAAAUCCAUUCAAGAAUGCACUUUUCACGUCCAUUUGAUAAAGUGUAAAACCUUUAAAACAUGCAAAUGCAAGAAGUAUACGAAUGGAUUCUAGUCUCGCUACAUGUGCAAAUGUUUCUUCAAAAUCGAUACCUUCUUCUUGAUUGUAACAUUGGGCCACUAAUCGAGCCUUGUUACGCACAAUUAUUCCAUUUUAAUCUCUUUUGUUUCUAAAGAACCAUUUGGUACCAAUAACGGUUUGAUGAUUUGGUCUAGCGACUAAGUCCCAAACAUGAUUUCUUUCAAAUUGAUUUAAUUCUUCUUGCGUCGCUACAAUCCAAAACUCAUAAAACUCUGCUUCUUUAAAAAUUUUAGGUUCGAUUUGAGAAACAAAUGUACAACUACCAAAAUGAUUUUCAUAAGAAGUUCUAGUAGUAAUACAUUCCGAUGGAUCACCAAUAAUAAGCUCCUUAGGAUGGGAUGGAAAAAAUAUCCAUUCCUUUGGUAACGAGGGAUUAUUUUGUUCUUCGGUUUGUCUUUCCUCAUUUUCUUGAGCAUUUGAUUUUUCCUUUUCUUCAUUUGGUGCCUCCUUAUUUUGGUCUUGAAUUUUCAUUUGUUCAAAAGGAGCUUCCAAUCAUAUAUCAUCAUCACUACCUUUCUCUCGAUCAAAAGAGUUAGUCUCGUCAAAAAUAACAUGCAUAGAUUCUUCAACGACUAGAGUUCGUUUGCUAAACACUCUAUAAGCUAUGCUAGUUGAUGAGUAUCCUAGGAAAAUUCCAACAUCAGACUUGGAGUCGAAUUUUCCUAAAUUGUCUUUUGUAUUUAAAAUAAAACAUUUACAUCCAAAAACUUUGAAAUAAUUAAUAUUUGGAAUUCUAUUUUUCCAAAGUUCGUAAGGUGUUUUAGUUUUUUUAUUCUUUUUUUUUUUUUUUUUUUUUUUGCUCACUAAAAUUCUAUUGAUGACGUAGCAAGUGGUAUUAAGAGCCUCUACCCAAAAGUACUUAGGCAAAUUAUUUUCAUUUAACAUGGUCCGAGCCAUUUCUUGCAAUGUGCAAUUCUUCCGUUCUACUACACCAUUUUGUUGAGGUGUUCUAGGAGCGAAAAAGUUAUGUUCAUAUCCAUGUUCUUUACAAAAAUCAUCAAAACCAACAUUAUCAAAUUCUUCACCAUGGUCACUUCUAAUUGUUGCAAUAGAAUAGCCUUUUUCAUUUUCAACUUUUUUACAAAAAUGUUUAAAAACUUUCAAGGCUUCUUCUUUUAAACUUAAAAAUAUGACUCAAGUGAAUCUUGAAAAAUCGUCGACUAUAACAAAGGUGUAAUGUUUACCAUCUAAGCUAGCCAUCCUAGAAGGUCCAAAAAGAUCCAUGUGGAGAAGUUCUAAAGGUUUUGUAGUUGAAGAAUAAAGUUUAGGUUUGAAAUAAUUUUUUACUUGUUUUCUAAACUGACAAGCAUUACAAAUUUUAUCUUUUUCAAAUUUUAAAUUUGGCAAACCUUUUAUAAAACAAUUUUUAGAAAUUCUCUUCUAUGCCAUAGCCAUUAUUCUUCUCUCAAGCUAAGUAAACAAUUUUCAUUAUUUUCAAAUUCAAUGUUUAUAAUAUAAAUAUCUUUACUUCGGUUUCCUAUGAAAAUCACCUCUUUAGAUGUAGCAUCCUUAAUAAGACACUUUGAAGAAUCAAAUUUUAUGUUAUAACCUUUAUCACAUAAUUGACUAAUACUUAGUAAAUUAUGUUUGAGGUUAUCAACAAGUAAAACAUUUUCAAUUGAGGGAGUUGAGUGAUUACCAAUGUUUCUAAUACCAAUAAUUUUACCUUUGGCGUUAUCCCUGAAGGUUACAUGUCCUCCAUUCUUUUCUUUGAAAUUUGAUAGCAAGGAUCGAUCUCCGGUCAUAUGCCUUGAACAACCGCUAUCUAAGAACCAUUUGCUUUUAGUUUUCUUUGGUUCCUACAAAAAAAAAAAUUUAAGUUUUGAUUUUUGGUACCCAUACAAACUUGGGUCCUUGAUAGUUAGCUUUAGUAGAUUCUCAAAUCCACUUAUGCUUGUUUUCAAAAAAUAGCUUCUUUUUAGCUACACAAUCAAAGGCUACAUGUCUACUCUUAUUACAAAAACUAUGUCCACUUAUUACAAAUACUACAUGUAGUGUUAGAAGUUUUAACAAACAUAUUUUUGAGGCAUUUUUGUUUUAAAGAGGGUUUAUAUCCUAUUCUCCCUUUAAAAAAUGCAUUUUUGACUACCGAGAUUAAAUCAAAAUUUUUCUUUCCCAUCGGUGAAUUUAUGAAUGAUUUUUGUUAAGUCGUCCACUUUUUCUUUCAAAGCAAUGUUCUCUUUUACUACAAAAUCAUGAUCAACAUUUUCUUGUUGCUUUUUCAAAAUUUUAUUUAUUUCUUCUUUCAACAAAGAAUUUUUCUUUUUAAGGAUAGCAUGACUUAAGGCAAGGUUUUCAAAUUUCUCAAGCAUUUCAUCAUAAGAAUUUGAAAGCUCAUCAUAAGAAUAUUUUUCAUCUAAACGUACCUCGUCUUCGAUUGCCAUGAAGCACAUAUUUGCCACUUCAUUUUGACUAUCAUUUUCACUUUGUUCUUCAUUGUCGCUAUCAUCCCAUGUUGCUUGGAGUGCCUUUUUCUUGAAAUUUUACUUUUUAUUUGGGCAUUCGAUUCUCUUGUGGCAUGGCUUAUAUCAAUAAUAGCAAAUAAUCUUUUUACUUCUUUCUUCCCCUUUUUCCUCUUUCUUUUGAAAUUUUCGAUUAUUGCAAAAGCCUCUCCAUUUCUUAACAAGAAAAACCAAGUCAUCGAGCUCUUCAUCGCUCAUGUCUUCUUUUGAUGUUCCUUCUUCAAUUGCCGAUUUUAGUGCAAUUUGUCGUUUGAGAAGCUCCUUUGAUUCCUCCUUGCUUUUUCUUAUUUUCUCCUUAACUUCGGCAUUAUUUAGCUCAUAGGUCAUUAAUGUGUCAUAGAGCUCCUACCAUGGAUAUGCAUUUAUAUCCUUGGUAUUUUCAAUUAACAUUCUUAUCGGGCUCCACUCCUCCGACGAGGACCUAAGCAUUUUACUUAUAAGUUCACCGUUUGUAAAUUUACGAUCAUAACCUUAAGAUCAUUUAAAAUAUCGGUAAAACAUGUAAUCAUAUUAACAAUGGGUUCAUCUUGUUUCAUAAAGAAAUUUUCCAAUUCUUUAACCAACAAAUUUAUUUUUGUUUCUUUAACCUUGCUUGUGCUAACAUGAGUGACUUCAAGAGCAUGCCAAAUAUCAUAUGCCAAUUCACAUGUGCUUAUUCUAUUAAAUUCAUUUCUAUCAAGUGCACAAUAAAGCAAAUUUUUAGCCUUGGCAUUUAAGAACAAUUUUCUCUUAUCUUCUUCAUCAUAUUCUUCCCUAGUUUUAGAAAUAGUUUGAUUCGGUUUACCAUCUAUUUUAAUAGUUUUAGUAAGAACAUAUAGACCAAAUUCAAUAACUUCCCAAAUAUUAUAAUCAAUAGAUUGCACAUAUAUCAUCAUUCAAGCUUUCCAAUAAUUGUAGUGUGUGCCAUCAAAAAAAGGGGCGUCGAUUAGUGGAGUGUCCCUCUAGAGUUUGAAACACUUGGUUAGCCAUUAUUCAAGAUUGUAAAAUCUUUUGAAAGUGAGUACAUCGCUUUGAUACCAAUUGAAAGCCUAAGAAUGACUAACCAAGAGGGGGCUGAAUUGGUUAUUUAAAACAUUUUCAAUAAUAAAUGCUAAUAAAAAUAAUUUGCAAAUAUAAUAAAGAGCAAGCAAGAUAACUUGGAAAAAUAACAAGAGAAAGGGAUGGAAAAUGCAAACGAUAUGUUAUGAAGGUUCAAUCCAAUCACGAUCUACAUACCCCGUUACCAAGCUCUCUGUCACGAGCAAGGCCUUUUUCACUAAAUGUGAUUAAAUUAUGGUGCAAUUCAACCUUUUACAAAGCUUUUGGUGACUUACAAACAAAGAGCAUUAAUCCUUUUACAACAUUGAGCUUUCUGAGACCUCAACACGACCCACAAUUCAAUCAAAAGUAAACUUUACAAGAAAGUAAUCGUCUUCCACAACAAAGAUAUAUUCAAAGUUGAGUACAAUGGAAAGAAGUAGGGUAACACAUUAAUGAAUGGCAAUAAGUGAAGCUCAAGUGUUAGGUUUGAAGAAAACUUUGAUAAAUGAAAUGAUUUUCAAAAGUAAACUCAAUCAAAAGUUUUCCAAAAGUGAAUGAAUUGAUAGAGGUAAAUUAAGAGUAGAGAGUUAAAGCUUGAAUGUAUCUCAAUUUAAUGCUCUUGGAAGUGAUGAUAAUGGAUGCAAAAUGUUGGGGUAUUUAUAGAGUCCAAAACGUUAAAAAAUCUGAAUUUGCGGAUGACUCGUCCGGUCGACUGCCUCUUGUCUGGAAGACCAAUAUAGCCAUUUGUAUAGUAAAAAUCAUAAGUUAGAACGGUCAAAUUCUGGACCGUUGGAGGAGUUCGGUCGACCGCCUCUCAUGGCCGGUCCGGUUGACGGCCUCUCUGGGUGGUUGACCACCCCGGCAGUGCGGUCUUUUCACGUUUUGGCCUCGUUUGUUCCGAUUUGAAAGUUUUGAAGUGUAUGGACUUUUGGAGAAUAUUUUUAACUAAAUUUUCAAUAAAAAUGUCUUUAAAAUCCAUAUAUCAUUUUUAAAAGUCAUUUUCUUGUUUGAUCAAAAAGGUUGCAUUCGAAUUAUCUUAGUGCACAAAAAUUAUUUUUAAUGCAUAGCAAGAUUUUGAGCUAAACUAUUCUUUGUCAAAUAUCAAAGCAUUAGUACCUUUACAUUUUGCCUAGGAAAUCAAGUCUUUGCUCCGAAGUAUGCCUCGUCUUGAUAUUUCAUUGAUGCCGUCUCUCAGGCUCUUGAUCUUGAUCUUUUUUUUUUUUUUUUUUUUGGCAUUUAUCUCUUAAGCGUUUUGUCUCGAAUAAUUUGACUUGAUUACAAGGCUUUCACUUUGAUCUUCAUUUGAAGUCCAAUUAUACAUGAUUGAUUUGAACAUUGAACCAUCAUCACUAAAAAGAAUUUGUUAGAAAUAAAAAUAAUCUUGUUUGUUAUGAUCAAAACAUUUAAGAUUAAGUCGACCAUAUGCCAACAGACAACUGGUAAGUAUUUUCAGUUUCAAAAUUCAAAAUUUAGUAACUUUAGUUUCUUAGAUUUUAUUACUUGGGCCGUCUUUUAUCUAUAUUUUUCAUUAAUAAUUUAAUAUUGAUUAUUGAGUAUGAGUUUUUGAAAAAUACAUGUUUUUUUUUUGUUUGCAGUUUGCAGUUUGUUUAAAUGGCCUGAUAUUUAUUUUUAUUUUUUAGUACUUGAGCAUUUUUUAAAUUUUCAGAUUUGAGAAUUCAAUUGAUAUUAAUUUUGACAAGAGCUUUUCGCCUUAAUUAGAUUGUGGAGUAAAAGUUCAUUCUAAAUUGUAAUAUAGAAUUCCUCUUCAUCAACAAGCUUAAUUGAAUUAUUUUUGAAUUUCAAAUGCAGUAACUUUUUCACGGCAUGAAUGCAGACCCGUAGAAAUGUAGGAAAGGGAAACUACAAAAGCUUAAAUAUACUCCCUAGUAAGUAAAUGUCGUCAUCUCCCUACUUGCGGCCUUGUCAACUUAAUAACUUUUGUUGACAUAUUGUCUUGACAGCUUAAUGAUUGUUGUCUUUGCCUUGUGGGGCAAUCGGCUUAAUGAAUUAUUUUCAUUGCCUUUUCGACUUAAUGAAUUAUAUUUACUUUUAAAUUUUAACCCGUGCGCUAAAAAUUCCUGGAUUUGUCCCAGACUAAAUCACAUUACUCUUAUUUUUUACAUGUUUUAUUUGUGUCACCUAACCUUCAAACAGGACAGAAAAAAUGAUCAGUGUGGAGUGGAAUUUAGGUCCACACAACUCAUAUGGAAAUGGAGUUUUCGAGUGAGGCCCACAAUAAACUCGACGUUGGAAGAAAAGUUGUGGAGAUAUUUCAAGAAAAUAAUGUCAUUUUCUUGAUUUCAAAACAAAUAACCCAGAGGCAUAUCGCCACCCAUUAAUGUAGGGCAGGUGUGUACGCAUAGUUGAAGACAAAUAGACAUUGACCAUAAAAAUUGAGUAAUUGUUUUAGAUAUUCGUUAGUGUGCAUUAAUGCAGUACCCUUUGCUUGUAUAAAUGAACAAAUUAAUCUUUGUAUUUUCUUUUCCUUAUUAAAGAAAACUGUUUGCUGUAGAAAUUGAUGCAAGUGGGAGGACAAAUGAGCAGGAAAAGAUUAACGUGUAGAAAUGAUUCCAUAGAUGUAACUAGAAUAAUUGUCAAAGGAUAAGGAAAGAGUUAGGAUUCAUU
rnacentral:lncRNA from 1 species